AUUCUUUUAGUAUAAUAAGUAUAAUUGACUUCCAAUCAAAAGGUUAAAUCUUAAAAGAAUA
rnacentral:tRNA from 1 species